UACGUAGGUGACAAGCGUUGUCCGGAUUUAUUGGGCGUAAAGCGCUCGCAGGUGGUCCGUCGCGUCGUGCGUGAAAGCCCCCGGCUCAACUGGGGAGUGUCGUGCGAUACGGGCGGACUGGAGGCCAGUAGGGGGAUGCGGAAUUCCGGGUGUAGUGGUGGAAUGCGUAGAGAUCCGGAGGAACACCAGCGGCGAAGGCGGCAUCCUGGACUGGUCCUGACACUCAUGAGCGAAAGCGUGGGGAGCGAUCCGG
rnacentral:rRNA from 1 species